rnacentral:rRNA from 1 species
CCCUUAGAUGUUCUGGGCCGCACGCGCGCUACACUGAUGCAUGCAACGAGUUCUAUCCUUGGCCGGAAGGCCUGGGUAAUCUGUGAACGUGCAUCGUGAUAGGGAUAGAUUAUUGCAAUUAUUAAUCUUGAACGAGGAAUUCCUAGUAAACGCAAGUCAUCAGCUUGCAUUGAUUACGUCCCUGCCCUUUGUACACACCGCCCGUCGCACCUACCGAUCGAGGGUAAUGAUGAGCCCUCAGGAUUGUGGCCUCGUCGCGUCAGCGUCUUGGCUGCGAGAAUCUGUGCAAAUCCCUACCUUUAGAGGAAGGUGAANUCGUANCA